AGUCUGCUCCUGGCUUCCUUUGGAUGAAGAUGUAGAAUGUGCUGCUGUUCCUGUGCCAUGCCUGCCUGGACCCUGUCAUGCUUUCUGACAUGAUGAAAAUGGACUGAACCUCUGAACCAAUCUCAGGCUUGGCCACUGCUCCAUUCCCAGCAUGGCAGCUAUAUCUCCUUCUUCCUUGCCCUAGUAGACUAAAGUCCAGCCACUGUCUCCCUGACCAGCCCAUUGAAUGCCAGCAACUUCAUUUACCAAUCAAAAAACAACUGGGGGCAGGGACCCUCAGCAUCUU
rnacentral:lncRNA from 1 species